GACGGAGGAUGCAAGCGUUAUCCGGAAUUAUUGGGCGUAAAGCGUCCGCAGGUGGCUUUUCAAGUCUGUUGUCAAAGCGCGGGGCUUAACUCCGUACAGGCAAUGGAAACUGUGAAGCUAGAGUAUGGUAGGGGUAGAGGGAAUUCCCGGUGUAGCGGUGAAAUGCGUAGAUAUCGGGAAGAACACCAGUGGCGAAAGCGGUUCUCUGGGCCUGUACUGACGCUGAGGAACGAAAGCGUGGGGAGCGAACAGG
rnacentral:rRNA from 1 species